rnacentral:rRNA from 1 species
CUAAGUUUGAUGGCGACCGGCGCACGGGUGAGUAACACGUAUCCAACCUGCCGAUGACUCGGGGAUAGCCUUUCGAAAGAAAGAUUAAUACCCGAUGGCAUAGUUCUUCCGCAUGGUAGAACUAUUAAAGAAUUUCGGUCAUCGAUGGGGAUGCGUUCCAUUAGGUUGUUGGGGGGUAACGGCCCACCAAGACUACGAUGGAUAGGGGUUCUGAGAGGAAGGUCCCCCACAUUGGAACUGAGACACGGUCCAA